UGGAGUGUCACUCAGUGGUAGAGGAUUUGCCUAGCAUGCAUGAGGCCCUGGGUUCAGUCCCUAGUACUGCAG
rnacentral:tRNA from 1 species